GCGUGUGUCGUAUAACGGCUAUUAUAUCUGGCUUCCACCCAGAGGACUAGGGUUCGAUUCCCUACACCCGCA
rnacentral:tRNA from 1 species